rnacentral:rRNA from 1 species
AAGAGACAGCAGCCCGCGGUAAUACGUAGGUGGCAAGCGUUGUCCGGAAUUAUUGGGCGUAAAGCGCGCGCAGGCGGCCUAUCCAGUCCGUCUUAAAAGUUCGGGGCUCAACCCCGUGAUGGGAUGGAAACUAGUAGGCUAGAGUAUCGGAGAGGAAAGCGGAAUUCCUAGUGUAGCGGUGAAAUGCGUAGAUAUUAGGAAGAACACCAGUGGCGAAGGCGGCUUUCUGGACGAAAACUGACGCUGAGGCGCGAAAGCUAGGGGAGCGAACGGGAUUAGAGACCCGCGUAGUCCCUGUCUCUUAUACACA